GAUGAACGCUGGCGGCGUGCUUAACACAUGCCAGUCGAACGGAAAGGCCCCUGCUUGCGGGGGUACUCGAGUGGCGAACGGGUGAGUAACACGUGGGUGAUCUGCCCUGCACUUCGGGAUAAGCCUGGGAAACUGGGUCUAAUACCGGAUAGGACGAUGGGUUGGAUGCUAUUGUGGAAAGUUUUUUCGGUGUGGGAUGAGCUCGCGGCCUAUCAGCUUGUGGGUGGGGUAUUGGCCUACCAAGGCGUCGACGGGUAGCCGGCCUGAGAGGGUGUACGGCCACAUUGGGCCUGAGCUACGACCCAGCCUCCUAUGGUAGGCAGCGGUGGGGAAGAUUGCACAAUGGGCGCGAGCCUGAUGCAGCGACGCCGCGUGGGGGAUGACGGCCUUCGGGUUGUGUACUCCUGUCGCUUGGGACGAAGCGCUAGUGACGGUACCUGGAGAAGAAGCUCCGGCUAACUACGUG
rnacentral:rRNA from 1 species